rnacentral:lncRNA from 1 species
UUUAAAUUUCUAAGAUCAUUCUAUAAAUUUUAUUCUUAUAUGUUGGAUUCCUCUACAUCCUUGUGUUGAGGGAAUUCAACCAUGGAGAUUUUUAAACCCUCUAACUACGAUUAUUUGGAUUAAUACUUGGCUCGUAUUCAACUCCAGAAUUUUAGAAAGAUAAUUCUUCUAUCAAGGCAUUAAAUCUCAUAGAUUUAGUCAUAUUAUCUCAAGUUGCCUUAAUAGUAUCCCUUAUG